rnacentral:lncRNA from 1 species
UUCAAGUGUGCCAAUCAUUCAAGGAUGUUCAGCAAAAUCUUCUUCCCCUUAAAUAUUAUAUUUUUAUUGUAUUUAUUAUGCUCAUUUAAGGAGCUGUUGUGCUAAAAUUUAUGUAUACUAUGUUCUUGCUAUUGUAUUUUGGAUUUUGAGUUUUGGGGGGUUUCAAAACUUGGAUAGAGUGAUCCGAAUUUGAAAUCGGAGUA